rnacentral:tRNA from 1 species
GCGAGGGUAGCAAAGUCUGGUCAAAUGCGCAGGACUUAAGAUCCUGUCUCUUAGUGGGUUCGUGGGUUCAAAUCCCAUCCCUCGCA